UACGGAGGGGGCUAGCGUUGUUCGGAAUUACUGGGCGUAAAGCGCACGUAGGUGGCUUUGCAAGUCAGAGGUGAAAGCCCGGGGCUCAACCCCGGAAUUGCCUUUGAGACUGCAUCGCUAGAAUUGUGGAGAGGUAAGUGGAAUUCCGAGUGUAGAGGUGAAAUUCGUAGAUAUUCGGAAGAACACCAGUGGCGAAGGCGGCUCACUGGCCCGAUUCUGACGCUGAGGCGCGAAAGCGUGGGGAGCAAACAGG
rnacentral:rRNA from 1 species